rnacentral:rRNA from 1 species
AGCGAACGCUGGCGGCAGGCCUAACACAUGCAAGUCGAACGGAUCCUUCGGGAUUAGUGGCGGACGGGUGAGUAACACGUGGGAACGUGCCCUUUGGUUCGGAACAACUCAGGGAAACUUGAGCUAAUACCGGAUGUGCCCUUCGGGGAAGAUUUAUCGCCAUUGGAGCGGCCCGCGUCUGAUUAGCUAGUUGGUGGGGUAAAGGCCCACCAAGGCGACGAUCAGUAGCUGGUCUGAGAGGAUGAUCAGCCACAUUGGGACUGAGACACGGCCCAAACUCCUACGGGAGGCAGCAGUGGGGAAUCUUGCGCAAUGGGCGAAAGCCUGACGCAGCCAUGCCGCGUGAAUGAUGAAGGUCUUAGGAUUGUAAAAUUCUUUCACCGGGGACGAUAAUGACGGUACCCGGAGAAGAAGCCCCGGCUAACUUCGUGCCAGCAGCCGCCGCAGUAAU